UACGUAGGGGGCAAGCGUUGUCCGGAAUCAUUGGGCGUAAAGCGCGUGUAGGCGGUCCGGUAAGUCCGCUGUGAAAGUCGGGGGCUUAACCCUCGGAUGCCGGUGGAUACUGUCGGGCUUGAGUACGGAAGAGGCGAGUGGAAUUCCCGGUGUAGCGGUGAAAUGCGCAGAUAUCGGGAGGAACACCAAUUGCGAAGGCAGCUCGCUGGGACGUCACUGACGCUGAGACGCGAAAGCGUGGGGAGCAAACAGG
rnacentral:rRNA from 1 species